GACGAACGCUGGCGGCGUGCCUAAUACAUGCAAGUUGAGCGCUGAAGGUUGGUACUUGUACCAACUGGAUGAGCAGCGAACGGGUGAGUAACGCGUGGGGAAUCUGCCUUUGAGCGGGGGACAACAUUUGGAAACGAAUGCUAAUACCGCAUAAAAACUUUAAACACAAGUUUUAAGUUUGAAAGAUGCAAUUGCAUCACUCAAAGAUGAUCCCGCGUUGUAUUAGCUAGUUGGUGAGGUAAAGGCUCACCAAGGCGAUGAUACAUAGCCGACCUGAGAGGGUGAUCGGCCACAUUGGGAAUGAGACACGGCCCAAACUCCUACGGGAGGCAGCAGUAGGGAAACUUCGGCAAUGGACGAAAGUCUGACCGGGCAACGCCGCGUGAGUGAAGAAGGUAUUCGGAUCGUAAAACUCUGUUGGUAGAGAAGAACGUUGGUGAGGGUGGGAAGCACAUCAAGUGACGGUAACUACCCAGAAAGGAACGGCUAACUACGUG
rnacentral:rRNA from 1 species